GACAUACCCUGCCUCUCAAACAAUUUUCAUCAGAAGUUUCAAAUGAAGAGAAGAGAACAAAAGGAAAUGAAGAGAAAAUUCAGAGAUUCCCUCAUAGUUCUUCAGGUUGCUAGGAAUUGCCAGGACAGCACUGCCAACACUGACCUCAAAUCUGUGGAACCGGAGGAUCCCAAGGCAUGAAGUGAACCGAAAGACGAACCCUAACACGACAGCGACAGGCUUUCCUGUGUCCUGUCGAGCGCAGCGUUAGGACGGAGCUCCCCUGCGAGGAUGCCCUGCUGAGG